AUCCAGCCGACGAGUUCGAAAUAGGACGAAACAUGUGUCCAACUGGAU
rnacentral:hammerhead_ribozyme from 1 species